CCUACGGGAGGCAGCAGUGGGGGAAAUUGCACAAUGGGGGAAACCCUGAUGCAGCGACGCCGCGUGGGUGAAGAAGCGCCUCGGCGCGUAAAGCCCUGUCAGCAGGGAAGAAAAUGACGGUACGUGAAGAAGAAGCCCCGGCUAACUACGUGCCAGCAGACGCGGUAAUACGUAGGGGGCAAGCGUUAUCCGGAUUUACUGGGUGUAAAGGGGGCGCAGACGGCGAUGCAGGCCAGGAGUGAAAGCCCGGGGCCCAACCCCGGGACUGCUCUUGGAACUGCGUGGCUAGAGUGCAGGAGGGGCAGGCGGAAUUCCUGGUGUAGCGGUGAAAUGCGUAGAGAUCAGGAGGAACACCGGUGGCGAAGGCGGCCUGCUGGACUGCAACUGACGUUGAGGCCCGAAAGCGUGGGGAGCAAACAGGAUUAGAUACCCCAGUAGUC
rnacentral:rRNA from 1 species